GUUAAGUUUAUAGAGGUGACAUUGGUAAUAACAUUUUGAGUGCACAAUUCUAUAAUAUAUCAUCUGUAUAAUGCAUUGUAUGUUCACCACCCAAAAUCUAGUCUCCCUUCAUUACCAUAAAUUUGACCCUCCCUUUAUUCUCUCCCCCACCCCCCCUCUCUGGUGCUCACCUCCUGUUGUCUGUGUCUAUAAGUUUGUUGUUUUGUUCAUUCUUUUGUUGCUUUCUGUUUUAUGUCACACAUAUGAGUGAAAUCAUAUGAUUAUUGUUUAUAAAGGACAUCUUUUUGGGGAGACAACUGGAGUGUUUAUUUACAAUGGCAGUGGAAUCUUUUAUGGAGAUGGGUAUAGGAUUUGGACCUUUUUUGAAAUUUAAAUUAAACCAGUUAGAAAGUAGCCAGCAAGUUGGCAUGAUUGAUGAGAAAGAACCUUAGCUUUAUUUAGGCCCAUGCUCCUCAGAAAGAUCAAAACAAUUACCCUGUUUCAGAGAAAACAGAAUGACUCGAGCCAUUUUUAUAAUUCAAAAUAAGAUUGAAUCAGCAUGGAGCUGUGGUUAUGUUAACGAUUACAGUACAAGUUGUGGGAGUCUGAGGAAAAGCUGUGCUGUUUGCAGUGCUUUAACCUGGAGGUGCUGAUAUUUCCUGGCUACGAAAGGUUUGAUGUGAAGGCAGCCCGCAGUAGUCCUGGACUUAAGGGUUUUGUGGGCAGGCCCAGCUCCCCCAGCUGCAUCUCCUCACGACCUGCUCUAGGUUUGGGGAAUGUUGGCGCUGCUUUGCGGAGAUGUGCUAACCCUUCUCAUUUGCUGAUGGGGAUGCCCUUUCACUUCUUUGUCUUUCUAGGUUUUAUUUCUUUUUAAAAUUUCUUUACCAUUAUUUUAAUGGAUUUGUAGACAAAAAACACCAAAACAACAAAAAAUGCCCUGUGAUCAGUUAACCAUCUUGAAUCAUAUAUGUCCUCAUAGGUUGGCAGAAAAUAAUUGAAAACAAUGAUUUCUUGAA